GUGCUCGCUUUGGCAACACAUAUACUAAACUUGGAACAAUAUGGACAACAUUAGCAUGACCGCUGUACAAAGAUGACACACGGGGCUGGAGAGAUGGCUUAGUGGUUA
ensembl:snRNA U6 U6 spliceosomal RNA